rnacentral:rRNA from 1 species
UACGUAGGGUCCGAGCGUUGUCCGGAAUUACUGGGCGUAAAGAGCUCGUAGGUGGUUUGUCGCGUUGUUCGUGAAAACUCACAGCUCAACUGUGGGCGUGCGGGCGAUACGGGCAGACUAGAGUACUGCAGGGGAGACUGGAAUUCCUGGUGUAGCGGUGGAAUGCGCAGAUAUCAGGAGGAACACCGGUGGCGAAGGCGGGUCUCUGGGCAGUAACUGACGCUGGAGGAGCG